GUACGUAAGUUGUUGCAGUUAAAAAGCUCGUAGUUGGAUCUCAGGCUUGUGGCCGGUGGUCCGCUCGAUACGGGUGUGCACUGCCGUGUCCGGCCUACGUCUGGUCUAACGUCCAUAGUGCCCUUAACCGGGUGCUAUGGAAUGCCAGAAAGUUUACUCUGAAGAAAUUAGAGUGCUCAAAGCAAGCCGUUUGUGCUUGAAUACUGUUGCAUGGAAUAAUGGAAUAGGACCUCGGUUCUAUUUUGUUGGUUUUCGGAGUCGAGGUAAUGAUUAAGAGGGACAGACGGGGGCAUUCGUAUUGCGCCGUUAGAGGUGAAAUUCUUGGAUCGGCGCAAGACGAACAACUGCGAAAGCAUUUGCCAAGGAUGUUUUCAUUAAUCAAGAACGAAAGUCAGAGGUUCGAAGACGAUCAGAUACCGUCGUAGUUCUGACCAUAAACGAUGCCAACUGGCGAUCCGCCGCAGUCUGGCUUAAAGGACUCGGCGGGCAGCCUCCGGGAAACCUAAGUCUAUGGGUUCCGGGGGAAGUAUGGUUGCAAAGCUGAAACUUAAAGGAAUUGACGGAAGGGCACCACCAGGAGUGGAGCCUGCGGCUUAAUUUGACUCAACACGGGAAAACUCACCCGGCCAGGACACCGUA
rnacentral:rRNA from 1 species